rnacentral:rRNA from 1 species
UACAGAGGUCUCAAGCGUUGUUCGGAUUCAUUGGGCGUAAAGGGUGCGUAGGCGGUCGCGCAAGUCGGAUGUGAAAUCUCAGGGCUCAACCCUGAAACUGCAUUCGAUACUGCGUGGCUAGAGUGCUGGAGGGGAGACUGGAAUUUACGGUGUAGCAGUGAAAUGCGUAGAUAUCGUAAGGAAGACCAGUGGCGAAGGCGGCUCUCUGGACCGAGACUGACGCUGAGGCGCGAAAGCGUGGGGAGCAAACAGG